rnacentral:misc_RNA from 1 species
UCGGCGGUCGCUACAGCGUCCGGCAUUCUCUCGAUGGUCGCUACUUUAUUCACGUUACUCUCCUGUGAUUAGGCUUCCGGGGUUGCGUCUAGUCUCUUGGCAAACUCAUGCAUUCGUUCGUUGGCUAGCAUUGGGCUUGCGCCGGCCAACCGUUCAGCUUGGUAGAAAUUGUACAGUGCGGACGCUCGCUCCAUUGCGAGCCUCAACGCGCUGGAUGGAUCACUCAGUGCGGGAGAGGAAUGUUCCUCGCAUUGAUCGCUUUCUGCGGUCCUUGACUGCAUUGCACUCUCCCUUGUGCGGUUACGCUUCAGAAACUGGAAUGAUCUCGACACGCGCGCCGGUGACAUUCUUUGACCAGCCAAGCGCAAUCGCGCGGACAAUCGUGUUGUCGUCGGCCUCGAUAACCUUGUGCUCAACGAGCAAGUCCGUUGCGGCCUUCUCAAG